rnacentral:rRNA from 1 species
GUUCACAUCGUGACGGUAUCCAACCAGAAAGCCACGGCUAACUACGUGCCAGCAGCCGCGGUAAUACGUAGGUGGCAAGCGUUGUCCGGAUUUAUUGGGCGUAAAGCGAGCGCAGGCGGUUUUUUAGGUCUGAUGUGAAAGCCUUCGGCUUAACCGGAGAAGUGCAUCGGAAACCGGGAGACUUGAGUGCAGAAGAGGACAGUGGAACUCCAUGUGUAGCGGUGAAAUGCGUAGAUAUAUGGAAGAACACCAGUGGCGAAGGCGGCUGUCUGGUCUGUAACUGACGCUGAGGCUCGAAAGCAUGGGUAGCGAACAGGAUUAGAUACCCUGGUAGUCCAUGCCGUAAACGAUGAGUGCUAAGUGUUGGAGGGUUUCCGCCCUUCAGUGCUGCAGCUAACGCAUUAAGCACUCCGCCUGGGGAGUACGACCGCAAGGUUGAAACUCAAAGGAAUUGACGGGGGCCCGCACAAGCGGUGGAGCAUGUGGUUUAAUUCGAUGCUACGCGAAGAACCUUACCAGGUCUUGACAUCUUCUGCCAACCUAAGAGAUUAGGCGUUCCCUUCGGGGACAGAAUGACAGGUGGUGCAUGGUUGUCGUCAGCUCGUGUCGUGAGAUGUUGGGUUAAGUCCCGCAACGAGCGCAACCCUUAUUGUUAGUUGCCAGCAUUUAGUUGGGCACUCUAGCAAGACUGCCGG